rnacentral:snRNA from 1 species
UUCGUUACCCGGCAGGGGACAUUUCACGAUCUAGAAGAUUGUCUACCCAGGGUCGGGGUCAGCCAUUGCACCGAGGUUGUGCUGACUCCUGUGAAUUCCCAAAUGGGGGAACCUCGACUCCAUGAUUUCUAGUAGCGGGGGGGACUGCAUUUCCGCUCU